GACCCUAAUAAAUGAACCAUGAUCAUAGCUCUAUGGUUGAGCCCGAAUCUUUUGGUGAACCAAAUCAAAACUAAUUAAUCAGUUAGUGUCUAAAGUAAGUUUAGCAGAUUCGAUCAAGUAAUUUUUAAUUGAGAGCUAUUCACCUAGAUGCGUCUACGAUGAGUUAAGGGCACAUCUCUCUCACUGAUCUCACUUACGUGGCCAACAUGGUAGAUUAUAUUUUGAUUAGGUCACUAGUCGAUUCAUGCAGACCCAUACCA
rnacentral:lncRNA from 1 species